GGAUGAUUUAGGGCAAAUAAAACUGAAAUAAAAGCAGCAGAAAUGAGUGAAGUCGGAGAGAGUUGGAUGUGGUCUGUUAGCAGCAGACUCAGUGUUUCCACACCGAGCAUGCUGAGCCUAAAAUAACGAGAGGGGGGACUCGGGCUGGUCCGGGUUCAGGUUUAGGCUGGGGUUACUUCUGGGUCUGCAGCGCAGGGUUGGCCCUGUAAUCAGCUGACAGCUCUGGUUUCGCCUUCGAUCUCUCUGUAAUUUUCUUAAUUGAAGCCACUUGAGGGGUCGAGCGCUCAGUUCAUCCUCCUUUUUUUCCCUUCUAUGUUGCCUGCAUCCUGCUUCCUCUGUCCUUUCCUUUAUUUGGUCUCCUAUUUGGUUUCCUUUCAAUAUUUCUUUCUCUUUAUUUUUCUUCUGUCCCCUGACUUGGUUUCAUUUUCUUUCUUUUCCUAUUAUUUUGAUUCUUAAGUGCAUUCCUUUCCUAUCAUUCACUUUCUCCUUUCUAUGUUUCUUCAGUCUUGCUUUGUUUACUUUUCUGCUCUUCCUUUUCUUUCCUUUCCUUUCCUUUCCUUUCCUUUCAAUAGUAACUCGGGGUGAGAAAGAGGAGGAGAGUAUAAGGGUCAAAAUAAAGUGAUGAUAAAUGUUUUUGUUUUGUCAUUUUUGUUUGUUUUCUAAUUUAAAAAUGAAAAUAAAGCUUGGGGGAAAAAGUGACGAUAAAUGUUUAAAUUAAUGCUCAUUUCCUUUUUUUAUGUCAGUUGAACCAAAACUUUGUGAAUUAAAAAAAAAGAAGAUAAACUCUCGUCUCCUGCAUUUGUCUUUUUAUUUCUCCACCAGGCUUGUUUUCGUUCUCUCGAUCAUUUUCUUCUCCCCCUCCCCCGUCCGACCCCCAUCUCCCCCAAAACUCCCAUUCUUCAGUGUAAAUUGAUGCUGAUCACCCGUUAAUCUUUUUAAGUUGCCGUGAAACAGCCAGCAGCAUGCAUGACAAUGGUCCUCUCUGUGAGUCUAUGUGCGUAAAUGACAAUGGCUCUGUGUGUGUGUGUGUGUGUGUGUGUGUGUGCGCGCGCGCACAUUGUGGUUUCAGGGCCUACUGUAUGCUUCCUUUUUUACAUCGCUGCUACUAUUACUGCACAUCUGGACCCUGCAUGUGUGCGUGUACUCAAAUUACUUGUGUUGUGGGAACUCUCCUCCAUUACAGGGACUCAGCCCCGCUGUGUAAA
ensembl:lncRNA